UACAGAGGGUGCAAGCGUUGUUCGGAAUUAUUGGGCGUAAAGCGCGUGUAGGCGGCUUUGCAGGUCGGGUGUGAAAGCCCUCAGUUCAACUGAGGAAGUGCGCCCGAAACUGCAGAGCUUGAGUGCCGGAGAGGGUGGCGGAAUUCCCCAAGUAGAGGUGAAAUUCGUAGAUAUGGGGAGGAACACCGGUGGCGAAGGCGGCCACCUGGACGGUAACUGACGCUGAGGCGCGAAAGCGUGGGGAGCAAACAGG
rnacentral:rRNA from 1 species